AAUCAAGUCUGGAAGUGUUACAGGAUGGAAGAGUGAGCCUACAGAUGAAAAAACACUGAGAGUGCAUUACCGUAAGGUGUGAGUACAACAGCAAUCCUUUAUAGUUCUGUCACAGCUAGAAGCCUCAAAUAAUUCUGCUUCUCUGUCUAAAGAACAACUUGUCCUUUAUGUUCAGAGUGUUGGGGAAACUGGGUAUUUAAAUGGCCCUAAAGAUGUUUUAAUUUUGCUGCUAUUGCAGAGAUGAACAUCAUACAUGGACUCUUUAGGUCUUAUCUACCAAAAAAAAUUUUAUCCAAUAGGAAAGGAUUUUCAUGUACUGGGAAAACAACUAUCAACAAUGCAACAUUCUACAGGUGCUAGUUUAUCAUUCAAGAGCCUUAUACAAUGAAGUUAAUCUGCAAUUUGUAUGUCCUUUCCCAAGCUUCCACCAGAAGUUGAAUCUAUGAGUCAUGUAAGUUCCAUGAUCAACAAUUGAUGUGUUUAACGGUGUUGUUUUUCUUUUCUCAAUAUAGGUUAAUAGUAACAUUGGAUCUGAAAAGAUUCUUGGUUGGGGCAAGACACUGAAUAAAUUGUAUUGAUUGGAUGGAUGACAUGACAUUGCUAUACUUAAUUCGGAUUCCCCAGACGGUAUUUGAUAUUUAAAAAAUUGAAGUGCAUAUCUGGGCUCCCUUCUUUUCUGAAGCCCCGUUUCCCCUUGACUCAUAAUAAGCCCGUAGGGGGUCAUGCCCCUACUGUACGGUAUAUAUAAAAACAACAUAUACCGAGGUUUGGAGGGCUCUGGCCGGAAAGGGGACGUGGGGUGCCGCUUCGUCCGAUGAUGUGUUCACGGAGGGUGAUGUGGCUGCCCACAAAUCCGAACUAAAGGUUAAUCGCUCCUGUAAAAAUGUUCCAAAUCUUCAGCUCUUCUUCCGGCUUCUCUUAGCCAAUCACCGGGUAAUCUCCCCGGUGGGUCAACAAGGCAGUGUCUCCCCCUGCCUGGGUUGACGGCAACUUUUGA